rnacentral:tRNA from 11 species
GCGGGUGUAGCUCAAUGGUAGAGCCUCAGCCUUCCAAGCUGGUUACGUGGGUUCGAUUCCCAUCAUCCGCUCCA